GUAUUAUACUAUAAGGAAGGCUCAUCCAAUCUCUACUGGUAUUAUACUAUAAGGAAGGCCCACCUCAUCUCUACUGGUAUUAUGUAUUAUACUAUAAGCAAGGCCCACCCCAUCUCUAAUGGUAUUAUACUAUUAGGAAGGCCCACCCCAUCUCUACUGGUAUUAUACUAUAAGGAAGGCUCACCCCAUCUCUACUGGUAUUAUGUAUUAUACUUUAAGCAAGGCCCACCCCAUCUCUACUGGAAUUAUGUAUUAUACUAUAAGGAAGGACCACCCAAUCGCUACUAUUAUUAUACUAUAAGGAAGGCCCACCCCAUCUCUACUGGAAUUAUACUAUAAGGAAGGCUCACCCCAUCUCUACUGGUAUUAUGUAUUAUACUUUAAGCAAGGCCCACCCCAUCUCUACUGGAAUUAUGUAUUAUACUAUAAGGAAGGACCACCCAAUCGCUACUAUUAUUAUACUAUAAGGAAGGCCCACCCCAUCUCUACUGGAAUUAUACUAUAAGGAAGGCCCACCCCAUCUCUACUGGUAUUAUACUAUAAGGAAGGCCCACCCCAUCUCUACUGGUAUUAUACUAUAAGGAAGGCCCACCCCAUCUCUACUGGUAUUAUACUAUAAAGAAGGCUCACCCC
rnacentral:lncRNA from 1 species